rnacentral:SRP_RNA from 1 species
GCCGGGCGCGGUGGCGCGUGUCUGUAGUCCCAGCUAUUUGGGAGGCUGAGGCUGGAGAAUCCCUUGAGUUCAGGAGUUCUGGGCUGUAGUGCGCUAUACCGAUCGGGUGUCCGCACUAAGUUCGGCAUCAAUAUGGUGACCUCCCGGGGGACCACCAGGUUGCCUAAGGAGGGGUGAACCGGCCCAGGUCGGAAACGGAGCAGGUCAAAACUCCCGUGCUGAUCAGUAGUGGGAUCGCGCCUGUGAAUAGCCACUGCACUCCAGCCUGGGCAACAUAGCGAGACCCUGCCUCU